UUGUUUCAAUAUGGCGGACGAUGGAGGGAAAGGAUUUUCUCCUUCAGAAACGACUAAUGGUGGUGAUAAUUCUCAAUCUGACACAUUGGUAGAGACAAAAUUAGAUCUAGAAUCUGUAUCGUUGGUUCCUGGUGUCAAACUCCGGCCUGGGGUAGCACCUAUCAAGACUCAGUAUUUAAAGAAGGUUUCAAAAAGUGCUGCAAAUAAAGUGAGUUCAGAUGAAAGUAAAGCAUCAUGCAAUGAAGCUGAGAAAAAGAGACCUGUUUGUGAAGAUGAGAGUGAUAACAACAAAGCAGGAGAACCUUCUAAAAAGAAGAAAAAACGUGGAAUGAACAAAGCCAGACCUCGGGCAGCAAAACUUGACUUUAGCCAGCAGUUGUGCACAAGUGUAGUCAAGGGAGAGUUGUGUGCAUAUGGUGAGAAUUGUAGAUAUCUGCAUGACAUUGAAAAGUAUGUGACAGAUCAUAAGCUGCCCGAUAUUGGAGAAACCUGUGUGAACUUUGAGAAAUAUGGCAAAUGUAUAUAUGGAAUAACAUGUAGGUAUGGGAAGAAGCAUAUUUCCCAGAAUUAUGAAAACAUUGUAAAUGAGGAAUUGUACAAGGAGACUGCCCCUUCAAUGACAAGGACUGUUUUAAGCAAAGAGCUCACAUUUUCAUUGAGGAAAAAACAGUACGAGUUUCCCAAAGCAGACACGUUCCUGGCACAGCUUGCGAAAGUGAAAGCUGAAGGGAAGGAAUACAGUGAACUUGGAAGUUUGCAAAGACCAUGUCCCAAAAGUACAGGAGCCAUCACAGAUGAAGAUGUCAUCAAACUUAGACCACAAGAAAAGAAAAAGAUCAAUUUUGCAGACAAGCUUUAUUUGGCACCACUAACAACUGUUGGUAACCUGCCGUUUCGCAGAGUGUGCAAACAGUUUGGAGCAGAUAUAACUUGCAGUGAAAUGGCCAUGUGUACCAAACUACUUCAGGGCAGUAUGUCAGAAUGGGCCUUGCUGAAGCGCCACAGCUCUGAGGACAUUUUUGGUGCACAACUAUGUGGUUCAUUUCCUGACUCGAUGGCAAAAUCUGCUGAGCUCCUUCAGAAUGAUGUUCCUGUUGACUUUGUGGAUAUCAAUAUUGGUUGCCCCAUUGACUUAGUAUUUAAACAGGGAGCUGGAAGUGCUUUGAUGGGCCGCAUGGGAAAAUUUGAGCAGAUUGUCAGAGGAAUGAACUAUGUUAUGGAUAUACCUCUGACUGUGAAAAUGAGAACUGGCAUCAGUGAUAAGAAAACUUCAUGGAAUGCACACAAGCUCAUUUCCAAUCUUAAGACAUGGGGUGUUUCACUGGCAACUCUCCAUGGACGCUCAAGGGAACAACGAUACACAAGACUAGCUGACUGGGAGUACAUUAGUGAGUGUGCUAAGGCUGCUGCACCAAUGCCUCUCUUUGGAAAUGGAGAUAUCCUUUCACAUGAAGAUGCUGUUUUACGAAGAGAGCAAACUGGAGUAUCUGGUUUGAUGAUUGCAAGGGGGGCUCUGAUUAAACCAUGGAUAUUUACAGAGAUAAAAGAAAACAGACAUUGGGACAUAUCAUCCAAUGAACGUUUUGACAUGCUGCGGGAUUUUGCCAAUUUUGGCCUGGAGCACUGGGGAUCUGAUACAAUGGGAGUUGAAAACACAAGGCGGUUUCUUCUUGAGUGGCUUUCAUUUCAAUGUCGGUCUGUUAGAACGGCUCCCGCAGCGAAUCAAUGAAAAACCUCCACCAUAUUUUGGUCGAAAUGAUCUGGAAACUUUGUUGUCAAGUGGAAACUCUGCUGAUUGGGUUAAAAUAAGUGAGAUGCUCAUAGGUCCUGUCCCUUCUGGAUUCUGCUUCAUACCCAAGCACAAGUCAAACUCCUACACUGAAACCGAAGGAUAGAAUAAUAGAACUUUUACUUUCUCAAUGAAAAUCAGCUACAGUAAUUGUAGGUUUAAAGAUAGUUUCCACAAAUAUUUGAGGGGUGCUUAUCAUCUUCUUUGUCAUGCAUUAUAACUGCCUGGGGCGCCAGGAUUAAAGAUCAUAUCAAAAUGUAGAUAUCUGGUUAAAAUGUUCAGCUUUUUCAUAAAUAUUUUUGAAGAUCUGGUAGGCAUUGAUUUUCUUUUAUUGUUUUCUUGGAGGAAAAGUUAAUGAAUGGACUGAAAUGUAGUCAAUGGUAAAAAAAAUGAAGUGAACACAUGGUGUAUGGAUGUCAUCUUCAAGACAGUCCAUUAUGGUGCUUCCAAAUCUUAAAUAUAAUGUAUGAUGUCUAUGAUUGGUGGAGUGGAAAAAAUGAUGAAAGAGCCAAAAACCUGAUAAACCCUGGACCCAUUCCAAUCAAACAGAAACCAAAAUUUUGAAGACUUACAAAAAUAUCCAGACCAAACAGUGAUUUAUUAAUGUUCUCAGCAGCUGUUCGGAUCGUUUGUAAUGUGGUUGCUUUCUAAAACUGUGAGUAAUGGUUCAUUUUUCUCCAAAAUUGUCAAAAUUAUGUGUGGUGUAUUUUAUGAGGCCAUUACUGGUCAAGGAAAUGAUUGUAAUGUUGUACUAGCUUGAAUUGUCACAGAAAGUUCCUCCAUGACUCAGCGAGUUUUGUACAAGAGCAAUAAAACUCGGUCUACGCGCAAUAAUGGGGUAUUGAGUGACUAAGACAAUAAAAAUGAUUAAUUGAAAUAACUG
rnacentral:misc_RNA from 1 species